rnacentral:ncRNA from 1 species
CCGCCCAUUGCUACCACCGAUUGGAUGGUUUAGAGAGGUUCUUAGAUCAGCCACGCUGGUAUCAGUCAGGGUUCUAGUAGAGUGCCAAGAAGACAGUUAAAGUUGUCUAUCUAGAGGAGGUAAAAGUCAUAACAAGGUUUCUGCAGGUGAACCUGUGGGAG